AGUGAACGCUGGCGGUAGGCCUAACACAUGCAAGUCGAACGGCAGCACAGUAAGAGCUUGCUCUUACGGGUGGCGAGUGGCGGACGGGUGAGGAAUACAUCGGAAUCUACUUUUUCGUGGGGGAUAACGUAGGGAAACUUACGCUAAUACCGCAUACGACCUACGGGUGAAAGCAGGGGAUCUUCGGACCUUGCGCGAUUGAAUGAGCCGAUGCCGGAUUAGCUAGUUGGCGGGGUAAAGGCCCACCAAGGCGACGAUCCGUAGCUGGUCUGAGAGGAUGAUCAGCCACACUGAAACUGAGACACGGUCCAGACUCCUACGGGAGGCAGCAGUGGGGAAUAUUGGACAAUGGGCGCAAGCCUGAUCCAGCCAUACUGCGUGGGUGAAGAAGGCCUUCGGGUUGUAAAGCCCUUUUGUUGGGAAAGAAAAGCAGCAGGUUAAUACCCCGCUGUUCUGACGGUACCCAAAGAAUAAGCACCGGCUAACUUCGUG
rnacentral:rRNA from 1 species